UACAUAGGGUGCAAGCGUUGUUCGGAAUUAUUGGGCGUAAAGGGCGCGUAGGCGGUGCCACAAGUCGCGUGUGAAAGCCCCCGGCUCAACUGGGGAGGGUCACGCGAUACUGAUCGACUCGAAGGCAGGAGAGGGAAGUGGAAUUCCCGGUGUAGUGGUGAAAUGCGUAGAUAUCGGGAGGAACACCAGUGGCGAAGGCGACUUCCUGGCCUGUUCUUGACGCUGAGGCGCGAAAGCUAGGGGAGCAAACGGG
rnacentral:rRNA from 1 species